CUGCUGAGAUGGGCGCUGCCUCCUCCCACCCACAGUGCGUCAUCCCCUCACCAGCCGGCACCUGCAGCCUCCCCUCCGGAAGGGGACUGGGGCUCACAGGGAACACCCCCACCCAGACUGUGCCGUCUGGCAGGCACUUUCGGCCUCAGUGCCACGGCCCCCUCCCCAGGCCGCUCACACCCAUGGGGGGGCCACAGAGGUGUCUGCACAGUAGGGUUUACUCCUUCCCUGGGAGGCCCACGAAGGGAGACAGAAGAUUUGGCCCCAGGGCCUGUUGCUACAGGGGCGCCGUGCACGAAUAGCUAUGGCUGGGUCAGUGGGCGGGCCCUUGACACUGAGGCUGCUCCCGCCUCCACAGCAGCCUGGCGAUGCCCACAGCCUACUGACGGCUUCUUCACAAAGCGACCUCUCCAGGGAACGUCAGCAAAUAAACCCCGUGUGGUUCAGGGAGUGAGGUCCCGGGCCUGCUGGGGCUGGGGCUGGGGACAGGGGUCAGCGACUGCUUCAAUCCCCCAGAUGCAGGGUGCUGUUCAGCUGAGGGAGCUGGAGGGUGCCUGGGACUCGGGGGUUCAUCCUGGGAAAGUCCCUCCACCCCCACAGCCAGGGCAGAGCCACUGGGGAGCCCCCGGGAGACCAGCCUUCCACCUGGGGCUGCUGUGGUGGAUGGGCCCUCUGGACCUGGGUACACAAGGUGGGCAUGGGACAGUGCUCUGGACACCUGGGGCUGCUGUGCUCGCCACCGUGGUGACCGCAGCAGGUGGGAAGCGGGUCCCAAGGCAGGCAGUGCCAGUGACGGAGCACAGCCAGCCUGGCUGGCCACCCCCACAUCUGCUCACUCCCAACGACCUCCAAGCCCAAAGUAUGAUAGCAGGGCCUGCCGUGUUCAGGAGCACACAGCAGCGUCCACAAAGCACGGGACACGCGCCAGCUGAGCUGGUGCCACCCUGGCAGAGCAGA